rnacentral:rRNA from 1 species
GAUGAACGCUGGCGGCGUGCCUAAUACAUGCAAGUCGAGCGAACAGACGAGGAGCUUGCUCCUCUGACGUUAGCGGCGGACGGGUGAGUAACACGUGGAUAACCUACCUAUAAGACUGGGAUAACUUCGGGAAACCGGAGCUAAUACCGGAUAAUAUAUUGAACCGCAUGGUUCAAUAGUGAAAGACGGUUUUGCUGUCACUUAUAGAUGGAUCCGCGCCGCAUUAGCUAGUUGGUAAGGUAACGGCUUACCAAGGCAACGAUGCGUAGCCGACCUGAGAGGGUGAUAGGCCACACUGGAAAUGAGACACGGUCCAGACUCCUACGGGAGGCAGCAGUAGGGAAUCUUCCGCAAUGGGCGAAAGCCUGACGGAGCAACGCCGCGAGAGUGAUGAAGGUCUUCGGAUCGUAAAACUCUGUUAUUAGGGAAGAACAAAUGUGUAAGUAACUAUGCACGUCUUGACGGUACCUAAUCAGAAAGCCACGGCUAACUACGUG